CGCCCGUCCCGCCGCCCCCGCCCGCCUACGGGAGGCAGCAGUGGGGAAUCUUGCACAAUGGGGUCACCCCUGAUGCAGCCAUGCCGCGUGGAGGAAGACACCCCUAUGGGGCGUAAACUCCUUUUCUGAGAGAAGAACCCCCUGUAGGUUCAGGGUGUGACGGUAUCUCAGGAAUAAGCACCGGCUAACUCCGUGCCAGCAGCCGCGGUAAUACGGAGGGUGCAAGCGUUGUCCGGAAUCACUGGGCGUAAAGGGUGCGCAGGCGGGGCAGCAAGUCGGAGGUGAAAGCCCGUGGCUCAACCACGGAAGUGCCUUCGAAACUGUUGCUCUUGAGUCCCGGAGAGGUUGCCGGAAUUCGUGGUGUAGCGGUGAAAUGCGUAGAUAUCACGAGGAACACCAGAGGCGAAAGCGGGCAACUGGACGGGUACUGACGCUCAGGCACGAAAGCGCGGGGAGCAAACAGGAUUAGAUACCCUGGUAGUCCGCGCCGUAAACGAUGAAUGCUCGCCGUUAUUCCGCUUAAGGAAUAGUGGCUAAGCUAACGCGUUAAGCAUCCGCCUGGGAGACGUCAACCG
rnacentral:rRNA from 1 species